AGCAGCCGCGGUAAUUCCAGCUCCAAUAGCGUAUAUUAAAGAUGUUGCAGUUAAAAAGCUCGCAGUUGAAUUUCGGGAUUAGUGCGCCGGUCGUGCCUUCGGUAUGUACUGGUGUUACUGGUUCCUACCUUCUGACGAACCGUCAUGUCAUUAAUUUGGUGUGGCGGGGAAUCAGGACUGUUACUUUGAAAAAAUUAGAGUGUUUAAAGCAGGCUCGCGCUUGAAUACAUUAGCAUGGAAUAAUGAAAUAGGACGUUCGAUCCUAUUUUGUUGGUUUCUAGGAUUGACGUAAUGAUUAAUAGGGAUAGUUGGGGGCAUUAGUAUUCAAUUGUCAGAGGUGAAAUUCUUGGAUUUAU
rnacentral:rRNA from 1 species